rnacentral:lncRNA from 1 species
GUGGUCACUGCUGAGGAGGAAGAGGGAGGAGUCAUGGCCAAGUUGCCAUGAUCUUGUCGUUAUGGAGACAGACGUGCCGGGCUUCAUCACAAGGCUGCUUCCCUCCAGAGAUACUGUAGGCACUGAUCUAAAUUGAAUUAGCGGGUGUCAUAAGAAAGGGCAACAUCAACGGAAGAAGUGGAUCAAAGCAUUAGACUUGACUGAGCCCAGCAGGAAGGCAGUGCUGACCAUUCUCAAGGUUUGUUGGGACCCAGAGGUCCUCCCAGCUAUGAGUUCUACUCAGUACCCAGCUCAGACCAUUGGCCCCGUAGCCCUCAGGCCAGGAUCACUGUGCCUUUGUCACAGUAACCUCCUUGGAAGACCGGC